GGAGGAAAGCAGGGGAUCGUAAGACCUCGCGUUAUUCGAGCGGCCGACGUCGGAUUAGCUAGUUGGUGGGGCAAAGGCCCACCAAGGCGACGAUCCGUAGCGGGUCUGAGAGGAUGAUCCGCCACACUGGGACUGAGACACGGCCCAGACUCCUACGGGAGGCAGCAGUGGGGAAUUUUGGACAAUGGGCGCAAGCCUGAUCCAGCCAUGCCGCGUGUCUGAAGAAGGCCUUCGGGUUGUAAAGGACUUUUGUCGGGGAGCAAAUCCUGGUGGCUAAUACCCGCCGGGGCUGAGUGUACCCGAAGAAUAAGCACCGGCUAACUACGUGCCAGCAGCCGCGGUAAUACGUAGGGUGCAAGCGUUAAUCGGAAUUACUGGGCGUAAAGCGUGCGCAGGCGGUUGGGCAAGUCUGAUGAGAGAUCCCCGAGCUUAACUUGGGAACUGCGUUUGAAAUACAGAGCUAGAAGGGC
rnacentral:rRNA from 1 species